rnacentral:rRNA from 1 species
UACGAAGGGGGCUAGCGUUGUUCGGAAUUACUGGGCGUAAAGCGCGCGCAGGCGGUCUUCCAAGUCAGUGGUGAAAGCCUGGAGCUCAACUCCAGAACUGCCAUUGAAACUGUUAGACUUGAGUACGAGAGAGGUGAGUGGAAUUCCCAGUGUAGAGGUGAAAUGCGUAGAUAUCGUAAGGAAGACCAGUGGCGAAGGCGGGUCUCUGGACAGUUCCUGACGCUGAGGCACGAAGGCCAGGGGAGCAAACGGG